rnacentral:rRNA from 1 species
GAUGAACGCUGGCGGCGUGCCUAACACAUGCAAGUCGAGCGAACGGACGAGAAGCUUGCUUCUCUGAUGUUAGCGGCGGAAGGGUGAGUAACACGUGGAUAACCUACCUAUAAGACUGGGAUAACUUCGGGAAACCGGAGCUAAUACCGGAUGAUAUUUUGAACCGCAUGGUUCAAAAGUGAAAGACGGUCUUGCUGUCACUUAUAGAUGGAUCCGCGCUGCAUUAGCUAGUUGGUAAGGUAACGGCUUACCAAGGCAACGAUGCAUAGCCGACCUGAGAGGGUGAUCGGCCACACUGGCACUGAGACACGGUCCAGACUCCUACGGGAGGCAGCAGUGGGGAAGCUUGGGCAAUGGGCGAAAGCCUGACGGAGCAACGCCGCGUGAGUGAUGAAGGUCUUCGGGUCGUAAAACUCUGUUAUUAGGGAAGAACAUAUGUGUAAGUAACUGUGCACGUCGUGACGGUACCUAAUCAAAAAGCCACGGCUAACUACGUG